UGUUCUGUGGCUUAGCAGGUUAAAGCGCUGAUCUAGCGAUACGGAGUCGUGGGUUCGAAACCCAUCAAAACAA
rnacentral:tRNA from 1 species